UAUUGUAUUUUCUAAAGGUACAAAAACCCUACACAGCUGAAGAGCAUGCCACUGCCCUGCAACUGAAGUUUGAAAACCAUGUGUAUCACAACCAGAAGCUGCUAGACUGUUCUAGAAAAGCUUUUGUCUCCUAUGUCCGAUCGUAUGCCUCGUAUCCUAAGAACUUGAAAGAAAUGUUUCCCUUUAAAGCUCUUCACUUGGGUCAUGUUGCAAAAAGUUUCUGUCUUCGAGAAGCUCCAUCGGUUCUUGGAAUUAAGGGAGUAGAAGUGAGAAGCAAAGAGAAACACUUCACAAAGCAAAGGCUAGACAAGGGUUUCAAGAGAUCAUCAUCACAACAGUUUUCAGAAUUUGACAGUGGACUUGGUCAAGGCACUGCAAAACAUAGAAAAACCACCAAGAAAAAAAAGGUGUUAAAGAAGCCAAGAAAACCACAGUUUAGAAGACAUUGACCUGUACUUUUUUUUUUGUAACAACAGUGUUCUUAAAUGUGUAAAUAAAUUAUUUCUAACUUGACA